AAAAAAAAAAAAAAACCCACAAUUCAUUGAGACCAGCAUCAAUUUAUUGACAACAACAGUCGCAAAGUGCAAGUUCAAGAAUUCAAUUAAAGAGUUACAGCAAUAAUCCAAGAUAAAAUUUGAUCUUAUUUAUCGAACAAAACAAAUUCCACAUGACUAGGAAUCUAGAAAUCAGGCACAAGCUCCUGGAGAUACUGAGAUGGGAGGCCAUAUAUUCAUAUCCCUCGGCCACCUGUAUGACCUAAAAUAAGGAUUAAUCUCCCCUUCUGCCCGACCAGUGGUAUCAAGCUGUGGAGCACUGACGAACACCACACCAACUGAAACUGCUGUCACAAGCUUCCUCAUCCCCCCUUCAGGCUUCAACCAUGGCAACAACGACCGUACAAAUAUAAAGGUGGCCAGUACAAAACAACCAUCCAGAUAAUGCACUAGAAGCGCUCAGCCUGUAGAUCUCCAUACCUCAAAUCUACAGCCCGUAGGCCCAUCUCAACUUCUUAACACAAAUGAAGAAUACAAGAUGAUAAA
rnacentral:misc_RNA from 1 species